rnacentral:lncRNA from 1 species
GCCGCCGCCGGAUCACUAUCCCUAUGUCGAGCUUUCUGCAACAAAAGUUGCAGGCUCGACAAAAAAACAAAGGAAAAACACAACAUGCAGCAAACAUCCAAAGAUAAAAUAAGAAAAACUAGAUAACAAAAUGGAAAAGAAGAGACAUGUUGUAUUAAAUCAUGUCAUGGAGUAUCUGUAAGUAAUGAAUUCUUGACUUUAAAAAACUAUGAACACACUUUCAAAAAAUAUUCGUAUGUUAAUGCAUCAGUGUUUAGAGGUACUUAAACGCUGC